UACGGGGGGGGCAAGCGUUGUUCGGAAUUACUGGGCGUAAAGGGCUCGUAGGCGGCCAGCUAAGUCAGACGUGAAAUCCCUCGGCUUAACCGGGGAACUGCGUCUGAUACUGGAUGGCUUGAGUGUGGGAGAGGGAUGCGGAAUUCCAGGUGUAGCGGUGAAAUGCGCAGAUAUCAGGAGGAACACCAAUUGCGAAGGCAGCUCGCUGGGACGUUACUGACGCUGAGACGCGAAAGCGUGGGGGAGCAAACAGG
rnacentral:rRNA from 1 species